rnacentral:piRNA from 1 species
ACCAGCUUGUUGGGAUCUCUGCGGAAG